rnacentral:rRNA from 1 species
UACAGAGGUGGCAAGCGUUGUUCGGAAUUACUGGGCGUAAAGCGCGCGUAGGCGGCUUUGUAAGUUAGAGGUGAAAGCCCGGGGCUCAACCCCGGAAUUGCCUUUAAGACUGCAUCGCUUGAAUCCGGGAGAGGUGAGUGGAAUUCCGAGUGUAGAGGUGAAAUUCGUAGAUAUUCGGAAGAACACCAGUGGCGAAGGCGGCUCACUGGACCGGCAUUGACGCUGAGGUGCGAAAGCGUGGGGAGCAAACAGG